UGGGAACUGCGUUNUGAACUGGGUGACUAGAGUGUGUCAGAGGGAGGUAGAAUUCCACGUGUAGCAGUGAAAUGCGUAGAGAUGUGGAGGAAUACCGAUGGCGAAGGCAGCCUCCUGGGAUAACACUGACGUUCAUGCCCGAAAGCGUGGGUAGCAAACAGGAUUAGAUACCCUGGUAGUCCACGCCCUAAACGAUGUCGAUUAGCUGUUGGGCAGCAUGACUGCUUAGUAGCGAAGCUAACGCGUGAAAUCGACCGCCUGGGGAGUACGGUCGCAAGAUUAAAACUCAAAGGAAUUGACGGGGACCCGCACAAGCGGUGGAUGAUGUGGAUUAAUUCGAUGCAACGCGAAGAACCUUACCUGGUCUUGACAUGUACGGAACCCUCCAGAGACGGAGGGGUGCCUUCGGGAGCUGUAACACAGGUGUUGCAUGGCCGUCGUCAGCUCGUGUCGUGAGAUGUUGGGUUAAGNCCCGCAACGAGCGCAACCCUUGUCAUUAGUUGCCAUCAUUAAGUUGGGCACUCUAAUGAGACUGCCGGUGACAAGCCGGAGGAAGGUGGGGAUGACGUCAAGUCCUCAUGGCCCUUAUGACCAGGGCUUCACACGUCAUACAAUGGUCGGUACAGAGGGUAGCCAAGCCGCGAGGUGGAGCCAAUCUCACAAAACCGAUCGUAGUCCGGAUUGCACUCUGCAACUCGAGUGCAUGAAGUCGGAAUCGCUAGUAAUCGCAGGUCAGCAUACUGCGGUGAAUACGUUCCCGGGUCUUGUNCAC
rnacentral:rRNA from 1 species